AGGACCAGAUCCUCAUGGAACCUAUUCACCCUGGCUCUCCUUUGCCUUUGUGAAGAAUUGAUUUCCUGUGGUGUGUUUAUGAAGACUGUAACUGAAGAUUUUAGGAAAAGCAGUGUAAAAUGUUCAGAGAACAUCCACUGGUCUUGGGGUACCACUAACUGACUUUCGAAUACAGGCAGUGGUCUACCAUGGCUUACCAGAGUCUUUCACCUGUGUACUUCCCUAAACUCUGAGGAUGUUCAACACCUGAAUGACUGGAUCCUAGAGACCUGGGUGAACCUGACCAUGAUGAUCUACCCAUACCUGACCAUGAUGAUACCCAUACCUGACCAACUUUUUAAAGCUUUUGCCUUCUUGGCCUAUCAAGAAAAGUAUUCUGAUGACUGUUAUAAACAGUGUGGUGUGAGGCCAUGGACUUCCUGCAACACUACCACAUAUGGAGGCAAAAACAUCUGCUCACACUCAAACAUCAUUUUCAGCCCCAGCCUGCCUUCCAGGAAUACCCGGUUCAUGUAGGCUGCGGGCCGGCUUACUACUACUACAUGCGGUUAAAGGCAGAAGAGUGGAAAGGGACCAAACUUAGUUUCUUCUAGCCUGUUUGUUUGAUUGAGACAGCAUUUCUUUAUGUAGCCCUGGCUGGCCUGGAACUCACAAUAUAGACCAGGCUAGCUUCUAACUCAUAGAGACCCACCUGCUUCCAUCUCCCAAGUGCUGUGACUAAAGGACUAUAUCAUUACAUAUGAUUUGUUUCAGCCUUUGGUGAUAAUUCCAAUGUAAGUCAAUCACUCUCCCAAAGGAGCCACCUCUUGUUACUCAUCUUUUACUAGUGGAGGUGAAGUUCUCACACAGGUAUGGCAAGCACGGAGACUUCUAGGCUCAUCGCUAUUCUACCAGAGGAUGAAGAAUUUUGUCAAUUUGAUUUCACUCCUGGAGAGAUUAUCUUUUUUUUCUCUUUCCUUUUUUAAUUAGGUAUUUUCUUCAUUUACAUUUCCAAUGCUAUCCCAAAAGUUCCCCAUACCCCCCCCCCCCCACUCCCACUUCUUGGCCCUGGCUUUCCCCUGUACUGGUGCAUAUAAAGUUUGCACAACCAAUGGGCCUCUCUUUCCACUGAUGGCUGACUAGGCCAUCUUCUGAUACAUAUGCAGCUCUUUAGUGACAAUUUAUAUGAUUCUUUUAACAUCCAAGACUUUAAACUUGUAACAUAAAGACCUUAUAAAAAGUCAAAAAUUAAAUUUAUUUAAAUG
rnacentral:lncRNA from 1 species